rnacentral:rRNA from 1 species
GAUGAACGCUGGCGGCGUGCUUAACACAUGCAAGUCGAACGAAGCACUUUUAAUUCUUCGGAAGAGAAAGUGUCUGAGUGGCGGACGGGUGAGUAACGCGUGGGUAACCUGCCUUAUACAGGGGGAUAACAGUUAGAAAUGACUGCUAAUACCGCAUAAGCCGAUAGAGUCGCAUGACUUAGUCGGAAAAGAUUUAUCGGUAUAAGAUGGACCCGCGUCUGAUUAGCUAGUUGGUGAGGUAAUGGCCCACCAAGGCGACGAUCAGUAGCCGGCUUGAGAGAGUGAACGGCCACAUUGGGACUGAGACACGGCCCAAACUCCUACGGGAGGCAGCAGUGGGGAAUAUUGCACAAUGGGGGAAACCCUGAUGCAGCAACGCCGCGUGAAGGAAGAAGUAUUUCGGUAUGUAAACUUCUAUCAGCAGGGAAGAAAAUGACGGUACCUGACUAAGAAGCCCCGGCUAACUACGUGCCAGCCGCCGCUGUAAGAC